CCUACGGGAGGCAGCAGUGGGGAAUAUUGGGCAAUGGGCGCAAGCCUGACCCAGCAACGCCGCGUGAAGGAAGAAGGCUUUCGGGUUGUAAACUUCUUUUCUGAGGGACGAAGAAAGUGACGGUACCUCAGGAAUAAGCCACGGCUAACUACGUGCCAGCAGCCGCGGUAAUACGUAGGUGGCAAGCGUUAUCCGGAUUUAUUGGGUGUAAAGGGCGUGUAGGCGGGAAAGCAAGUCGGAUGUGAAAACUCAGGGCUCAACCCUGGGCCGGCAUUGGAAACUGUUUUUCUUGAGUGCUGGAGGGCAAAUCGGAAUUCGGGGUGUGGCGGGGAAUG
rnacentral:rRNA from 1 species